rnacentral:rRNA from 1 species
CACAUGUGACGAGUUUGUAUCCUGGCUCAGAACGAACGCUGACGGCAUGCCUAACACAUGCAAGUCGAACGAGACUUCGGUCUAGUGGCGGACGGGUGAGUAACGCGUAGGAACCUGCCAAGCAGUGGGGAAGUAACAGCUGGAAACGGCUGCUAAUACCGCAUACGCCCUUCGGGGGAAAGAUUUAUCGCUGUUUGAGGGUCCUGCGUUCGAUUAGCUAGUUGGUGAGGUAACGGCCCACCAAGGCGACGAUCGAUAGCUGGUCUGAGAGGAGUGAUCAGCCACACUGGGACUGAGACACGGCCCAGGCUCCUACGGGAGGCAGCAGGUGGGGAAUAUUGGACAAUGGGGGAAACCCUGAUCCAGCAAUGCCGCGUGCGUGAAGAAGGCCUUAGGGUUGUAAAGCGCUUUCACCUGUGAUGAUGAUGACAGUAGCAGGAGAAGAAGCCCCGGCUAACUCCGUG